UGGGGAAUAUUGGGCAAUGGGGGAAACCCUGACCCAGCGACGCCGCGUGAGGGAAGAAGGCCUUAGGGUCGUAAACCUCUGUUGUGUGGGAAGAAGAGCGUGACGGUACCACACGAGGAAGUCCCGGCUAACUACGUGCCAGCAGCCGCGGUAAUACGUAGGGGACGCGCGUUGUCCGGAUUUACUGGGCGUAAAGGGCGCGUAGGCGGUCAUUUAAGUCAGCUGUGAAAUGGUGCGGCUUAACCGCAUCAUGCGGUUGAAACUGGAUGACUGGAGUGCUGGAGAGGUAAGUGGAAUUCCCAGUGUAGCGGUGAAAUGCGUAGAUAUUGGGAAGAACACCGGUGGCGAAGGCGACUUGCUGGCCAGCAACUGACGCUGAGGCGCGAAAGCCAGGGGAGCAAACG
rnacentral:rRNA from 1 species